GCCUUGCCUCCUUCUACGUGGUGUUACAGUUCCUUUUGAUUUAAAUGAAGGAAACAAAUUGAGGACAUCUUGUUUGGUGAACGAAAUGGAGGAGACAGCUGGCCUUUGUGAAGUCUCAGUGGAUGGAGCGCUGAAAGGACCAGCCUGCCUGUACCAUGUUUCCUCAACAUAUGGAAGAUGUGUGAAUCACGACGCUUGGAUGAAAAUCUAGCAGAGGGCUGGCUACCUGGUGCAUUGGCCAAUAUACCCCUGUGAUGGCAGGCAGGCCCUGUUC
rnacentral:lncRNA from 1 species